GACAGAGGGUGCAAACGUUGUUCGGAAUUACUGGGCGUAAAGCGCGUGUAGGCGGCUCUGCAAGUCGGAUGUGAAAUCCCACGGCUCAACCGUGGAAGUGCAUUCGAAACUUCCGAGCUGGAGUCCUGGAGAGGAAGGCGGAAUUCUCGGUGUAGAGGUGAAAUUCGUAGAUAUCGAGAGGAACACCGGUGGCGAAGGCGGCCUUCUGGACAGUGACUGACGCUGAGACGCGAAAGCGUGGGGAGCAAACAGG
rnacentral:rRNA from 1 species